AUGGUAGGGAUUUUGCUACAAUCAUUUCACUGUUUAUGAAAGAGCUCCCUGCAAAAUUGAUUGUUUGGGGAAGAUGGACAGUUGUGUUUCAUUUUUCUUCCAUUGAAAAUUACAAUAACCUUCUUUUCCACAUGA